rnacentral:misc_RNA from 1 species
UACGUAGGGCCCAAGCGUUAUCCGGAAUCACUGGGCGUAAAGGGUUUGUAGGUGGCUUCAGAAGUCUUGUGUUAAAUCAAUUGGCUUAACCAAGUGUCUGCAUGAGAAACCAUGGAGCUUGAGCAUUGCAGGGGUACGCGGAAUUCCCGGUGUAGCAGUGAAAUGCGUUGAUAUCGGGAGGAACACCAAUGGCGAAGGCAGCGUACUAGGUAAUUGCUGACACUCAGAAACGAAAGCGUGGGGAGCGGACGGG